UGUUCGCGCUCACUCCUUCCCUCUUCUUUCCGAGGGACGGCCGCGGUUCUCCCGUCGGUCCCCGUGCGGGUGGGCCUGCCCCCCGCGGUGCUGCGGCCUCGUUCUCUGACACCUCUUGGUUUUUCGCUCAGUUGCCUUUCCCGUUGUUCCCGGGCCGUUCAUCUCUGUAAUAUCGUCUGCUUAAACUGAGUCCACCCUAGAAGUGCCCAUCGCCCCUCCGCCCGCCCAAAUUCCCAAAAUUUAACUCCCAGAAGUCGCUUUGCUCAUGAGCACCCUGAAGAUCCAGCCAAACCCUUGCUUGGAGUUCAGAGGUUAAAAGGCCCCGUUGCACCUAAACCCUGUGCGGACCCUUGGGACAUGAGGUGUUUCAUGACUGUUCCAGAGCUUCAGGAGCUCCCAGUCACCAUCCCUGAAGCUCCUACUCUAAUUACUCCUCUUUGAAGAGUGGUGAAUAUACAGCACAACUGUGGAACAAGACCCAGCUAUAGCAAAGCUGCUGUUCCUCCUCCUCCUUGUGCUCUCCUACUCCACAUUGAACAGCACUCAGGCAGUGGCUCAUCCAAUAGGAAUAUAUUAAUAUAUUAAUUUAAAUACCA